rnacentral:misc_RNA from 2 species
AGGAAUCAUAUAGAUCAGAAAAUCAUCUUCAGUUUUGAAAGACUUAGAGUAAAGUUUUUCUUUUUUUAAGCGAAGGGCCUAUAGCUCAGCUGGUUAGAGCACACGCCUGAUAAGCGUGAGGUCGGUGGUUCAAGUCCAUUUAGGCCCACCAGCAUAAGGUACUCGCUUAAAAAUAAAGUUCUUUGAAAAGUAGAUAAACAAGGUAACAACCUCAAAAAU